ensembl:lncRNA
GGGGGGAGGGGGGCGGUGCUGGCUUGGUCCUUGUUUUCUUAUGUCUCCUUUGAAGGUAAAAACUAACCAAUUUUUUUCUGGCCUUCAAGCUGUGAGAGGUUAAAAAAAACCUGUCUGUAAAAAUAAACAAAUAAGACCUGCAAUCUCCCUUCAAAAGGUGGCGGGAAAAAAUACUCCACCUAAAGCCCAUAAAUAUUUCCUGAUGAUUGUUCCCUCAAUUAGUAACUAUCCAUCUGCUAUGAGACUGGAGAGGGCAGGUGGGGGGACGGUGGGGGGAGGGGAGAAGAGGCGCUCAGGAGCUUAGCACCUGGAUGAGCAGAACAAAGAAGAGUCCCUAAGAAGGUAAGAGAACUCAGAGUUGCCUAUGCGAUACUCAGUUUCAAGUCCAGAAAAACCACCGGCUUGUCUAAGUGGAGGAGUGUCCAAGGUGGCAGAGAGGAUGGGGGAGCUGAUACCCAGAAAGGACCACAAGCAGCCGGGGAGCCGGGUCCUGCCUGCACAGGAUACGAGGGAUGGUCACAGGGAGCUGGGGACACCGGGCCGGGGCAGCAGCGGGUGUGGGCUUGGGGCGUGCACGAGAUGAUGAGGUCAGAGUUUUAAGGAAACCUGUUUGAACACGGCAUGGGACCGCAGGGGAGGGAGACCAGACUGGAAAUGGGAACAAAGGGAACAGAGAGGGAAAGAUAAACCUGAAUGCCUUUCAAAGAAGUGCAGAGACCUGUAAGCUGGCUGGAUCACACUGCCGAGCAGAGGGAGCUGAGCAGGAAGUCACUCUGGCCACAGGCUCAAACUUCCUGGAAGAAGUUUUCAACUGUUAAAGGGGUUGGGCUCAAUUAUUUUUUAGACACUUGGCAAGUGAAGAAAUGGAGUGGGUGAGAAGGGAGGGUCUUGGUACCAGAGUGAGAAAUCAGGGCUCAGAUUCAGAGAUGAGAAGGUACAGGAUGGGGCAUGAAGAACAGCCAUUCUGAGCCACGGAUGUGGAACAGAACCAGGGCUGGGAGGAACGAGGUCCCCAGUAGGGAGAACGAGUGUGGAAACGUCGGCAACGACAGGGUGUGGAACCCUCCCGAGGAGAGAGAUCAGGGGAGCUGAAGGAGGCGCAGAGGUGGAGGGGCCUAACCUCGAGCAGGCACGAAGCGGCACUCGGACACCCUGCGGAUUAGUAAUCUCAAGAACACAGGCAGCGGCCGUAUGCUGCGAGGAGGAGGAAGAGAAAAGGGGAACUGGUAGCUUCAGGAGCCAGGACCCCAGAGAGGGGGCGAGAGGGGGUGAACGGGGCUGGGGGGGCUCUUAGCUUAGGUCUUUACAACCACGUGACCGCGAGAAUGGGCCCAGGAGAGGGGCCGGGGACCCUCCGGAGCCCGCUCCUCCUCCUCAGAUGCCUGAUUCACACAAGUAGCUGCUCCCCUCACCGGUAAACAAGUGUAUGCCAUCUACAAACAGCAAGGGCGCCAGGUCUGCGAAGGGAGAGAGAAACCUCCAAACGCCCAACCCACUCCAAAUGGCUUUGAUGGUGUUUUUUUUCCACCAGGGCUGAACUCUGCAACUCUCACCCAGAUGCGCCUCGGUGUGGAAUGCAGCCGGGAACCGCUGGGGACCAGGGAGUCAGCCAUUCCUGAGAGGCACGCGGCCCACCCUGAGCAUGGGCACCGUGUCCUGAGGUCAGCCGGUCCCAGCAGAUCUGCAUGCAGGGCCCGGUGAUUCAAUUAGCGUGACUUCAGUUGUUCUUUUUCAGGUCAGUUUUCUCUUCUUUUGUUUAGACCUGACUCAAGAUUAACUUCAAUUACCUACACGUCUGCUAGAGCACCUCAACAAAUUAAAACUGCUGAAAGUGAUGAAGGAGAGGAAGGACCUGGGUCUCUGGAGAAACAAAUGGUCUCCUCCCUCCCCCACCAUCAUCUCUGUUCUCUUAAAUUACUCAACUAAACAAGCAACUGUUUCUCACAGGAAAACUCGAGACUCUGAGUCUGAAUGUGAAAACCCCGUGGUUAAGCCCUGGCUUGCAGAAAACUAAAAACUUCAGUGACUCUGGAAUGAGAUGUUAUGUUCAGAGCUAUACGAAGCGCUGCAGCUGUUCUCAGCCAACAUGGAAACCGAAAAGGGUGAUGCUAUCUUUAUCCUCUACCUACGGCCAAAGCUGAUCCCAUCCUGGGCAGGAGUCAGCUCAGUUCUAGGCUGCUGAGCCCAAGAGACAAGAAGGGAAAGGAAAGCAGGGGCUGGCAGGGCACACCUCAGCAACAACACACAACAGACCCACCGGGAAGAAAGAACAUGCAGUUAAUCAUUAAAAAUUUGAAAAGGAUGCAAGGAAAUGGAACCGCCUGAAAAGCUGUUUCUAAACGCCAUUUGGAAAACCUGUGUCAAUCGGGUCAAAAUUCAAAAGACUGGAUCGCAUCUGACUUGACCUGAAUUUCCCAAGUGGAAAGAGAACCCUUUUAUCCAUUUUCUUGGAAGAAAAAAAAACAUACUUCCCUAUGCAAACUCAGACAGCGUCUUCAGACCACCUCAUGGAGUCAGGCCCUAGAUGAGCAUCUCAGAGAGGGCAGAUGAUGAGGGAAAAUGAGCCCAAUCAGGAGGGAAGGUGCUGGGAACGGGGAUUCAUCCCAGCCCGGAGCUGGCACACAGGCUGACUGAAGAGCACGUUCCCCGGUGCAACGGCACCGCCUCACUCUGAGCAAACGUCUCCCCCGCCACUCCUGGCCGUGCACCCCCAGCCCCAGCCGGCCUGUCGGCAAUGCAACCACCAACGAAUGGAACUGUGGCGAGGGGCUUGGCGCGGUGUGAUCUGUCACUGACACACCACGCUUCCUGCUCAUGCCGCCGGCCCAUCUUCAUUCAAGAGACAGCAACAAAACGGCCGUGGGGUGGCCAGCAAGCAGGACGGCACAGGGGCUGGCGAAGGAGCGGACUUGGGAGCCACGCUGCCCAGGUUCAAAUCUGGCCUCUUCCCCUUGCCUGCUGUGGCGGAACCACCCUCAGCUGCAGAACCUCUAUCGGCCUUGGUUUUCUUAAGACGACAGUAACGCCUAUUUCACGUGGCGGCUGCGAGACCGAGGAGUUACCCGGGAAAGUGCUUAAACAGAGUCUGAAGACUUCCCUGGUGGUUCAGUGGUUAAAAGACUCUGUGCUCCCAAUGCAUGGGGCAUGGGUUCAAUCCCUGGUCAGGGAACUAAGAUCCUGCAUGCUGCACCGUGUGGCCAAAAAAAUAAAAGAAUACACACAGUCUUGGGGAGAAAGCAUCAAUUCCCCCAUGCGCAUCAGGACUUCAGAGCUGAUCUGCUAACUAGCAGCCCAACAGGCCCUGAAGACAUUCCGUUCACCCAGGGCCGUGCUUCUCAAACGUUAACACGCUUCCAGAAAGCUCACUGAAACAGAUCUGGGCCCCACCUCUGGUUUCUCACUGGAAGGUCUGGGGUAGGGCCUAACCAUCUGUGUUUCCAACAAGCUCCCAGGUGAUGCUGCCGCUCUGAGCCUCACACUUUGAGGACCACGGCUCUGUGGACCACUUGACUCCUUGUGUUCUAUGCUUCAGGCCUAAGCCUUGGUUUGUCUAUCUGCGCAGGGAGCCUGGAUGAGACAACCCAAGGAGAAGGGCAACGUGGCUCACUGCACGGAGAAGGCCCGAGGGUCCCUCCACACCGCCCAGCACCCUGCGCCUCCACACCCUGCAGGUGGUAGGUUCUGGCCAAGGGGCUGCGAGCAAAGACAACACACACCACUUCCAGUCUGAAGCUUUAAAGCGCCUGCUGGCCUGCCGGCUCUCUCCUUACAGUGGCGGCCUGGGGGCAUGCGCAGAGCUGGGGGGUGGGGGGUGCAGGACCCUGGGUCACUGCCUGGAAAGGAGGUACUCGAGAGAGCUGCCGGCCUGCAACAGACUUCACAUGAAAAGCAAUGCCAUCCUAUGUGCUGUGCCACUGGGGUUUUAAUAUUUGUUUGAUCGCUUUAGCUUAAGCCCACUGAAACAAUUCCUAUCACCAGUAUAAAAAGGACCUUUACGCCAGCCGUAAGUCCAUUCUAUCAAACACAGAUGUAAUGUAUCUUGUAACAAAACUGAUUAGCUAGGAUUUCUACUCUCAUUCACUUAUUCAAAUGAGUUUCUUUUUUUUUUCUCCAACAUUCCAUUUUGGGGUCUGUUUUUCACCAGAUAUAAAACUUCUUCACUGCAGCAUGAUUGUGUAACAGUUACCAACAAUUUUGAACAAUCUAAAUAUACUAAGAAGCACUGAAGAUGUGAAAAAUAAAUACAGUGAAGAACAUGAAACUGUGUGUAUGUGUGCGUGCGCGCACACACACACACACACACACACACACACACACCAACCAGAAUCCCUGGACUCUAAAAGGCAGGUCAGAAGAAAAGGGUUUUAAUUUUACUUAUUAAAUCAUGAGCAAACUGAUAUCAUAUUUUGCCCAAACAGGAAAAGGUAAUCUCUUUAAGGUAAAAGCAUCACCACUGAACCACAAAACUGCUCCUUAAAAUAAUAAUAAUAAUUUCUAGUUAACCUAGAAAAAUUUGCCCAUCCAGGUUGAGCCGUCCACAGUAUACCACCUUCCAUUUUAUGUGGAAAAAACAAUAAAUCCCCACCUCCAAGAACCACACAGCCAAAACAAAAUGUAAUCUACAACAACCCAUCAACUAAAACUAGAAAAUUUAUGAAAUACACAAAAUUGAAAGAACUGGGGAAAGAGAAUUUUUAAAUACGCGCUAGAACCACAUACAGGUCCUUCUGGUCUGUGAAGCAAACAGCACUUCUCUGGAGGGCUCUCUGCGGAGGACUUAGCUAAGUGGGAUCUAUGACGCACCUCAGAGGUGGGGGGCUUUCUUGCUGGAAUUCUCCCUAGCAGGAGGAAAAGCCCCUUGAACACACAGAAACAUUUUAAAACUCAGCUCCUCGGGGGCUGGGGGGUGCUCUGCUUCCCCGUGAGCACCGGCAGAGCUGAGCUGAGGAUGAAGAGCCCUGCUGCCCUGGCCUUCUCAAGUUCCUAGGCCCUUGAGCGCCUCAUGCUCUGGGUGUGUCACGUUCCACCUCUUGAGGUACUUCCACGUGGCCAAAAAGGAAAAAAAAAAAGGUAAACACUCGUACAAUGCAUUUGCUCACCUAUUAUAACUCAGC